rnacentral:rRNA from 1 species
AGCGAAGCGGGAAGAGCUCAAAUUUAAAAUCUGGUAGGCUUUGCCUAUCCGAGUUGUAGUUUAAAGAGGCGUUAUCUGGCUGCUGCCUGGUGUUCAAGUCCCUUGGAACAGGGCGUCACAGAGGGUGAGAACCCCGUCUGGACACCAAGCAGCAGUAUAUAUGAGGCGUCCUCAAAGAGUCGAGGUGUUUGGGAAUGCAGCUCAAAAUGGGUGGUAAAUUUCAUCUAAGGCUAAAUACUGGCAAGAGACCGAUAGCGAACAAGUACCGUGAGGGAAAGAUGAAAAGCACCUUGAAAAGGGAGUUAAACAGUGCGUGAAAUUGUUAAAAGGGGAACGAUUGAGACCAGUAUUACUGGCGGCUGUUCAGCAUGCCGUUCCGGCGGCAUGUGCAUUCGGUCGUCAGUGAGUCAGCGUCAGUUUGGGCUGUUGGAGAGAGGCUGGAGGAAGAUGGGGAUGGUCCUUGUGGCCAACCUUUUAUAGA